GGUUAAGCGACUAAGCGUACACGGUGGAUGCCCUGGCAGUCAGAGGCGAUGAAGGACGUGCUAAUCUGCGAAAAGCGCCGGCGAGGUGAUAUGAACCUUUGACCCGGCGAUGUCCGAAUGGGGAAACCCAGUGUGAUUCGUCACACUAUCGUUAACUGAAUACAUAGGUUAACGAGGCGAACCGGGGGAACUGAAACAUCUAAGUACCCCGAGGAAAAGAAAUCAACCGAGAUUCCCCCAGUAGCGGCGAGCGAACGGGGAGCAGCCCAGAGUCUGAAUCAGCGUGUGUGUUAGUGGAACGGUCUGGAAAGUCCGGCGAUACAGGGUGACAGCCCCGUACACAAAAGCACUCAUGCUGUGAACUCGAAGAGUAGGGCGGGACACGUGGUAUCCUGUCUGAAUAUGGGGGGACCAUCCUCCAAGGCUAAAUACUCCUGACUGACCGAUAGUGAACCAGUACCGUGAGGGAAAGGCGAAAAGAACCCCGGCGAGGGGAGUGAAAAAGAACCUGAAACCGUGUACGUACAAGCAGUGGGAGCCCCACCACUAAGCCAGUGGUGAGUCCACGUCAGCAUCCUUUGCCGAAGGUAAGGUUAACGGAGCGCAAGCGACGUUCAACCUCAAAAGAAGCAGAGGGGGCUUAGUGGUGG
rnacentral:rRNA from 1 species